UCAAUUGAAUUCCAGAGAUAACGCCACCUUCUAGAGAGAACAGAUGAUGCGACGGCAUCUCUCGUCGGCAAAAGAGAGAGAAUUUGUACGAGGAGUGCGUCUGGCAACUGAUUGAUGCGAUCUAGGGUUUCUUCAACUCCAGUGACUCUAUUCUCUUGUUUCUGCGACAUUGAAUCUCUCAAAUUACUAGUAAAAUCUCCAUUUUUGCUGGGAUGGAGUGAAGCCAUGAUUCAAGAGAAAAAACUAAAAAGGUUUUGAAAAUUUCCACUAAAGAGUGACGGCCCUCAUUCUGUUUUCUUUUGAAACCUGAAUUUUGUUUGCAUAGGAAGGUUGCGGGAUGGGGGUUUAUGGGACAGACAAUGCAAUAGAUUUAUCUUCUAUAUUUGUUUUCUUUGGUUUUCUGUGUACUCCUUAAUGCUUAUAUCAGUUCCACAAUUAUUAUUGGGCAUAUUUAGGCUUUGUAAGUAAUGAUUAUUUGUUUUUACAUGAAGUGCCGACACACAGUACUUGUGCGUUAGUUCAAAAUUGUGUCUAAUACUCUUGGUUAGAUUAUCAGGACUCAAUUAGGGAAAAUGGUUGCACUGAUAUACUUUUACCAUUAUAUAAAGAUGCCCCAAAUACUUCGAGCAAACUUCAUUGGUUAGCCUAAAAUUAAUUAAAAGGUUAGCCUAAGAAUCCUCCCCCAUCUUCUCCAUCCUUGGUUUUCGUCUUUGUCUUGUCGCCACAGCCGCAUCCCCUCCAUUCGUACCUGACUCGGUCCCACCCUCAUCCAACGCAACUCGGAUCUCCUCCGUCCGGCGCAAAUAGUCGGUCAAUUUAUGAGUAAUCCCUUCCUUAAUCUUAGUUCCUCAAUCACCCGCACCACCCUCUAAACCUAGCAGGUACAAAUAUCGAUUUUCAUUUUUCUUUUUCUGAUAAUUCUGUUUGGUGGAAAUUAUGAUAUUAAAAUUCCAACUUGAUAAAUUAGGAAUGAAAUGACUGAUCUUUUUCUUUUCCGUGUUGGCUUUUUCAAAGAACCCAAAUUUUCACAGAACCCAAAUUGGGAAAGAAAGGUUUAAAGAAGAAGGAGAAAAAAGGACCAGUCUUGGGCACAUAGUUGCUGAAAGAAGGAACAAUCAUGGUCGUGGGUGAGAAUGGGUCGUUGAAUCGGACGGACGACAAUGAUUCUGUUGUCGUCGAUCAUUAGUCAAAUCAGAAUGGCUUGCCACAGUCAACGUUACCGAUCGAUCAGAAUCUUCAGAUGAAAACCACUGUCCAUAAGCCUCAAAUGGAUGUAUUUCAACAGCAACAACAAAGAAUCAACGACAAUGGAGUGCUGAGUCAUCACCAUAAACAAUUGUAUAUGAGGCUAAUAUUUAAAAUUCAUUUUAGAUAAUUUUGAGUCAUCGCCAUAUAAAGCAUUUCUUUUGAAUAUUGGUAUAUUACAAAAU
rnacentral:lncRNA from 1 species